UGGGGAAUCUUCCGCAAUGGACGAAAGUCUGACGGAGCAACGCCGCGUGAGUGAAGAAGGUUUUCGGAUCGUAAAACUCUGUCUUUUGGGGCGAACGUGAGUAUGGUGAACAAUCAUAGUCAGUGACGGUACCAAAGGAGGAAGCCACGGCUAACUACGUGCCAGCAGCCGCGGUAAUACGUAGGUGGCAAGCGUUGUCCGGAAUUAUUGGGCGUAAAGAGCGCGUAGGCGGGAUAGUCAGUCUGUUGUAAAGUGCGGGGCUCAACCCCGUGAUCGCAAUGGAAACAGCUAUUCUUGAGUGCAGGAGAGGAAAGUGGAAUUCCCAGUGUAGCGGUGAAAUGCGUAGAUAUUGGGAGGAACACCAGUGGCGAAGGCGACUUUCUGGACUGUGUCUGACGCUGAGGCGCGAAAGCCAGGGGAGCGAACGGGAUUAGAUACCCCGGUAGUCCUGGCCGUAAACGAUGGGUACUAGGUGUGGGAGGUAUCGACCCCUUCCGUGCCGGAGUUAACGCAAUAAGUACCCCGCCUGGGGAGUACGGUCGCAAGACUGAAACUU
rnacentral:rRNA from 1 species